rnacentral:rRNA from 1 species
GACGAACGCUGGCGGCGUGCUUAACACAUGCAAGUCGAACGGAAAGGCCCUGCUUUUGUGGGGUGCUCGAGUGGCGAACGGGUGAGUAACACGUGAGUAACCUGCCCUUGACUUUGGGAUAACUUCAGGAAACUGGGGCUAAUACCGGAUAGGAGCUCCUGCUGCAUGGUGGGGGUUGGAAAGUUUCGGCGGUUGGGGAUGGACUCGCGGCUUAUCAGCUUGUUGGUGGGGUAGUGGCUUACCAAGGCUUUGACGGGUAGCCGGCCUGAGAGGGUGACCGGCCACAUUGGGACUGAGAUACGGCCCAGACUCCUACGGGAGGCAGCAGUGGGGGAUAUUGCACAAUGGGCGGAAGCCUGAUGCAGCAACGCCGCGUGCGGGAUGACGGCCUUCGGGUUGUAAACCGCUUUCGCCUGUGACGAAGCGUGAGUGACGGUAAUGGGUAAAGAAGCGCCGGCUAACUACGUG